GACGAACGCUGGCGGCGUGCCUAAUACAUGCAAGUAGAACGCAGUUGCGAACGGGUGAGUAACGCGUAGGUAACUGCCCCAUAGUGGGGGAUAACUAUUGGAAACGAUAGCUAAUACCGCAUACUGUGGGAUGGACCUGCGUUGUAUUAGCUAGUUGGUGAGGUAAGGGCGCACCAAUGCGACGAUACAUAGCCGACCUGAGUGAGUGAGCUGCCACCCGGGGACUUGGAGACGGCCCAGACGCCUACGGGAGGCAGCGGGAGGGAAGUGUCGGCAAUGGAAGAAAGGCUGACCGAGCAACGCCGCGAGAGUGAAGAGGGUUUUCGGAUCGUAGAGCUCUGUUGUUAGGGAGGGGGUAAGUAACCAGAAAGGGACGGCUAACUACGUGCCAGCAGCCGCGGUAAUUC
rnacentral:rRNA from 1 species